AGUGAACGCUGGCGGCGUGCUUAACACAUGCAAGUCGAACGAGAACGGGUUAUAGCUUGCUAUAAUUGUCAGCUAAGUGGCGCACGGGUGAGUAAUGUAUAGGUAAUAUGCCUCUUACUAAGGGAUAACAAAUGGAAACGUUUGCUAAUACCUUAUACUCCUUAUUAACAGAAGUUAAUAAGGGAAAGAUUUAUUGGUAAUGGAUUAGCCUGUAUUGUAUCAGCUAGUUGGUGGGGUAAUGGCUUACCAAGGCUAUGACACAUAACUGGUUUGAGAGGAUGAUCAGUCACACUGGAACUGAGACACGGUCCAGACUCCUACGGGAGGCAGCAGUGGGGAAUAUUGCACAAUGGACGAAAGUCUGAUGCAGCAACGCCGCGUGGAGGAUGACACAUUUCGGUGCGUAAACUCCUUUUAUAUGAGAAGAUAAUGACGGUAUUAUAUAAAUAAGCACCGGCUAACUCCGUGCCAGCCGCCGCAGUAA
rnacentral:rRNA from 1 species